rnacentral:rRNA from 1 species
GUACACUCCUACGGGAGGCAGCAGUGGGGAAUAUUGCACAAUGGGCGCAAGCCUGAUGCAGCGACGCCGCGUGGGGGAUGAAGGCCUUCGGGUUGUAAACUCCUUUCGCUAGGGACGAAGCUUUUUUGUGACGGUACCUAGAUAAGAAGCACCGGCUAACUACGUGCCAGCAGCCGCGGUAAUACGUAGGGUGCGAGCGUUGUCCGGAAUUACUGGGCGUAAAGGGCUCGUAGGUGGUUUGUCGCGUCGUCUGUGAAAUUCUGGGGCUUAACUCCGGGCGUGCAGGCGAUACGGGCAUAACUUGAGUGCUGUAGGGGUAACUGGAAUUCCUGGUGUAGCGGUGAAAUGCGCAGAUAUCAGGAGGAACACCGAUGGCGAAGGCAGGUUACUGGGCAGUUACUGACGCUGAGGAGCGAAAGCAUGGGUAGCGAACAGGAUUAGAAACCCUGGUAGUCCCAUGAU